rnacentral:pre_miRNA from 1 species
UUUCUACUCCCUCCAUCCGAAAAUACUUGUCAUCAAAAUGGAUAAAAAGAGAUGUAUCUAAAACUAAAAUACGUCUAGAUACAUUUCCUUUUAUCCAUUUUGAUGACAAGUAUUUCUGGACGAAGGGAGUAUUUG